CAGCAGCCGCGGUAAGACGAACCGUGCGAACGUUAUUCGGAAUCACUGGGCUUAAAGCGCGUGUAGGCGGAUGGGAGCGUCGGCCUCUGAAAUCCCCCGGCUCAACCGGGGAAGUGGAGCCGAAACGACCCGUCUGGAGGGACGUAGGGGGACCUGGAACUUCCGGUGGAGCGGUGAAAUGCGUUGAGAUCGGAAGGAACGCCCGUGGCGAAAGCGAGGUCCUGGACGUCUGCUGACGCUGAGACGCGAAAGCCAGGGGAGCGAACGGGAUUAGAUACCCGCGUAGUCCCUGUCUCUUAUA
rnacentral:rRNA from 1 species